GGGUCAGUAGGUUGGUCGUGCCACCGGUACGUACUGGUCUCACUGAUUCCUCCUUCCUGAAGAACUGUAAUGCCAUUAAUUUGGUGUUGCGGGGAAACAGGACUGUUACUUUGAAAAAAUUAGAGUGUUUAAAGCAAUCUAACGCUUGAAUACAUUAGCAUGGAAUAAUGAAAUAGGACGAUCGAUCCUAUUUUGUUGGUUUCUAGGAUUGACGUA
rnacentral:rRNA from 1 species